ACUGCUUCUUGGUCUUUUGGCUAAAGUCAAAUUUAGUAUCUGUUCUUAGCUUUUUAACAUCUGUUAUGUUCUCUGAGGACAUCAUGUUAAGUUGCUUUUUGGAACAGGGAGAUGGAAUAGGAUCUUGCUUCAUCCACUUGGUGCCUCAGCCUGGUGUUGUGAUGAUAUUUCCAGGAGUGGUGUCCUUUCC